rnacentral:rRNA from 1 species
UACAGAGGUCUCGAGCGUUGUUCGGAUUUACUGGGCGUAAAGGGUGCGUAGGCGGUGGCGUAAGUCGGUUGUGAAAUUUCGGGGCUCAACCUCGAAACUGCACCCGAUACUGCGUCGCUUGAGGACUGUAGAGGAGUGUGGAAUUCACGGUGUAGCAGUGAAAUGCGUAGAUAUCGUGAGGAAGACCAGUGGCGAAGGCGACACUCUGGGCAGUUCCUUACGCUGAGGCACGAAGGCCAGGGGAGCAAACGGG